GACGAACGCUGGAGGCGUGCUUAACACAUGCAAGUCGAACGAUGAAAUGGAGCUUGCUCCAUGGACUAGUGGCGAACGGGUGAGUAACACGUGAAUAACCUGCCCUUAAUUUUGGAAUAACCCAGGGAAACCUGGGUUAAUACCGGAUAAGUAAACCUGUGGCAUCACAUGGUUUUGGAAAGUUUUUAGAUUAAGGAUGGAUUCACGGCCUAUGAGCUUGUUGGUGAGGUAAUGGCCCACGAAGGGGGCGAAGGGUAGCCGGCCUGCUAGGGUGAACAGCCACACUGGGACUGAGGCACGGCCCAGACUCCGACGGGAGGCAGCAGUGGGGAAUAGUGCGCAAUGGACGAAAGUAUGACGCAGCGACGCCUCGUGAGGGACGAAGGUCUUCGGAUUGUAAACCUCUUACAGCAGGGACGAGGCGAAAGUGACGGUACCUGCAGAAGAAGCACCGGCUAACUAUGUGCCAGCAGCCGCCGUAA
rnacentral:rRNA from 1 species